CAGAAACUCUACAGAAUAUAUCUGCAGAAUUAGAGUCUCAGUCUCAUUUUUCAACCAGAAACACUUUGGAGCAACUGGAAUUAAAGUUCUGCUUGUGUUGUCCAAAACUACUAACUAACUAUGUUUAGAUGUUCUACCAUAGAUCAGUCUGCUCUACCAGAUGUUUAGAUGUUCUACCAUAGAUCAGUCUGCUCUACCAGAUGGUUAGAUGUUCUACCAUAGAUCAGUCUGCUCUACCAGAUGUUUAGAUGUUCUACCAUAGAUCAGUCUGCUCUACCAGAUGUUUAGAUGUUCUAUCAUAGAUCAGUCUGCUCUACCAGAUGUUUAGAUGUUCUACCAUAGAUCAGUCUGCUCUACCAGAUGUUUAGAUGUUCUAUCAUAGAUCAGUCUGCUCUACCAGAUGUUCUAUCAUAGAUCAGUCUGCUCU